CAUUGUUGUGGAAUGAAUAGGAGAGGUUUUAAAUCCUUGGUAAUGAGCCUGAGAAACUAAGCUAGGUGCUGUCUAGCUAGGACUGGUUGUAGAAGCAUUGCAAGAGACAAAGAACAAUGGAUAAAGGGCCAGAAGGUGUUUAGAGCGUUGAAAGGCUUCCCAGAGGUUCUGUGCUAGAGAGUAAGAUGGAGAGAGCAUCCUUGGCUGGAAGAACCAUGAUGGCAGUGGUGGGCAAAGAUGUGAAGUCAACAUCUGACUCAGACACUAAAAGAAAGGAAAUGGGAAAGGAAGAGAAAAGGGAAAGGAAGAAAGGAGCAAUACCAUGAGAAGCUUGAGGGAUCAAAGCUUGUAGCUCCUGUGACUAACUUAACCAAUGAGGAUCUUUCCUUUCAAAUCACCAUCUUCCAGUAUUCCACAGAAACACUGCAUAGUCUCUAAAAAUGAAUGCUCUAGAGCCAUACAGACCCACCCCUGUGUGUGGGUCUUAGAUCUGCCAUCGUUUGCUGUAAAUUACUUUAUGCUUCGUCCUCCUUAAACACAGGUGGAUAAUUAUCCACAUACACAACAAAAUUAUUGUGACAACUAACGAUGAUAUAUGUACAUUUUCAGGAUAGUGCUAGA